UGCGGCUGUUAACAGCGCUCGCGUGAGACCACCUUAUCUAAUCCUCCUUGAUAUACAUGUUUCUGAAUAAAGUUUAGUACUAUGUUCAUUCACAAGAAAAUUGCUAAAUAAUUAUUCGCCAAAUUUUUCGCACGCUAUUGGACGACACAACACGAAUGAAAAUCAUACGCUAACGAAAUCGUCUCAGUUCGUGAACAAUCAAUUACAUUUGCAUUUUGUUGAAGCGAAAUGUGUAUGGUCGCAGCGACAUUUCGCAUGUGUUUGCUUAUAGAACCCAGUACUACGUAAUUUUAUAGAUAUACGAGUGGAGAAAUGGGAGCCGAAAUCAGUUUUAUUUAAUGUAUUACUUUAAUGAAAAUGAGUGUUGGACUUUGGGUAUGUUAUGGAAUCCGUCGGAUAGGAAGAUCUGUCCGAUAAAUCGUUUAUCCGUGUAUUCAAAUGUUAAAAGACCAGAGUUGAUAUCAAAUAACCAUUCACAUUACAAAGUACCGGCCCUGUGUUUGGAGAGAGUGCCAGUAAAAGUUUUUUUUACUUUGGGAGAAAAGUAAGAAGCGGCCAAAAAGAAAGCUAGGAGAAAAAUGGUUGACCAUUGGAAAAUUGGCUUUUGGCGCGAGGAUUAUGACCCUACAUAUGCCUGUGAUGCGAGGGAAAAGAGGAUUGUCCGGCUAAACUUCAUAGUGAAAAGUAAAAUCCAGUGUUUGUAACUUCUACCAAGAUUGAUACCUUUGGUUAUAAGUGACGGGAGUAAAUUAAAAACAUUAACCUUUAAAAGCAAAUUUUUAUUUUUUCAUGUUGUGUUACAUAGAAAUAAAUUGAUUCCUGUAGUUUGGCAAAUAGCACUGGCCAUCCAAAGCUAAAAGGGGGUCAGUGCGAUAAUUUUAUUGCUGCAAAGUCGUCCAUUGUGCUCCAAUCUUCCGAGCUAAUCAUAGAGCUGUCUUGCGGUGCGACGGUGAUCCUACUGGUGGGAGCCCUAAAAAGAACGAAAAAAAAAUCAAGCCAAUCAAUAAUUAUGUUUCCAACGGAAUCAAGGUAAAGGCUGUGUCUUACCAAUUUGUGUGUGUGUCCUUUAUCUGUGAAGUCCCCUCGGAUGCGUAUUUGAGAGUGUCUAGCAGCCGUCCAGAGACCUAAAGAGGAAAAUGAAACAAAGUUUUAAUUCGUAGGAAUAUUUACCAAAAAAAAAACAAUUCAUAGUUAGUAUUAGAGGUAGGAAAUAACGUAAAUAAUUUAAAGGAAAAAGGUGUGAGGAGAAUAAUACAAGGGUUAAACAAAAACAAAGCUCAAGGAAACCAAUCCGAUUUUCCAUAACCCAUGUUCUAAUUGGUUUAUCCGUCUGCUAUAAGGCAGAUGUUAAGAACAUAGAAACAAAAUUUAUGCCAUCAAUUGAAACUUGAAUUUGCUUUUACUGUUUUGAUAUAACUUUCGUAUUAAUAAGUAUUUCUCUUUAAGCCCAUUUUUAACUGUAAGAGUAUAUAAGCGUAAACAAAAUAAAGGCCAUUUGGCAAUCUAUUAAAACAA